rnacentral:rRNA from 1 species
UACGUAGGUGGCUUUGUAUGUCGGAUGUGAAAGCCUACGGCUUAACUGUGGAACUGCAUUCGAAACUGCGGAGCUAGAGUGCAGGAGGGGAGAGCGGAAUUCUUGGUGUAGCGGUGAAAUGCGUUGAUAUCAAGAAGAACACCGGUGGCGAAGGCGGCUCUCUGGAAUGUUACUGACACUGAGGUACGAAAGCUGGGGUAGCAAACA